AUAAGCUUCAGUCAUUCUUGUGUGGUGUAAGAAAUAAGUUCACUUGUUUUGAAAUUUAUCCAUUCCCUGAUGAAGAUUACCGGCGGUAAUCGAAAUAUUGGAAAAAUUUUAAAUAAAACAAUUCAUAAAAAACACCGACACCUGUUGUUACAUGACCUCAAGCCGAACUAUCCACGAAAUUGAAUUAGAUUAAGUUAAGUAGAAAAAUAAGUAAUUUCAAAUAAUUUAAAAAGAAAUAAGUAUUAAAUGCAGUUAAUCAUUACAAUUAUUAUUAUUAAAAUAUCACAAUUAUUAUAA